rnacentral:misc_RNA from 1 species
GAUGAAGAACGUAGUGAAAUGCAAUACUUGGUGUGAAUUGCAGAAUCCCGUGAACCAUCGAGUUUUUGAACGCAAGUUGCGCCCGAAGCCGUUAGGCCGAGGGCACGCCUGCCUGGGUGUCACACAUCGUUGCCCCAAUGCCAAUCGCCUCACUUUGUAGGUAUUUGCUUGGGGUGAAUGUUGGCCUCCCGUGAGCUUUGUCUCACGGUUGGUUGAAAAUCGAGUGCAUGGUGUCGGGUGUACCAUGAUGGAUGGUGGUUGAGUGAUGAUGCUCGGUGACCCACAUGCGUCCCUUGGAUGCUCCCUAAGGAGACCUCAGGUCAGGCGGGGCUACCCACUGAGUUUAAGCAUAUCAAUAAGCGGAGGA